rnacentral:rRNA from 1 species
GCUUAUAAAGCACCUUGUUUACACCAAGAAGAUGUCUACUAAACUAGACUGUUUUGAGCCUAAAUCCUAGCCUAAACAAUUAACCUAUUUUUUUAUUAACCAAAAUAUUUCAAUUUGCCAGUAAAGACGAUUAAAAACUCGCUUAAGAGCUAUAUUCCAGUACCGCGAGGGAAAGAUAAAAUAAACAAUUAUUAAGCACAAAAUAGUAAAGAUUAAUUCUUGUACCUUUUGCAUCAUGGCUUAACUAGUCUAACUAAGCAAAAAGAAUUUUAGUUUAACAUCCCGAAACUAAGUGAGCUACUUCAGAGCAGCUUCUUGUGCAAACCCAUCUCUGUUGCAAAAGGGUGGGAAGACUCUUGAGUAGAGGUGAAAUGCCUAUCGAACUUAGAAAUAGCUGGUUAUUCGAGAAAAGAAUUUAAGUUCUACCUAACGUUGCCUCUUAUCACAAAAUAUUAAUCUCAACAUUAGAGCUAUUUAAAUAGGGUACAGCCUAUUUAAAACAGGAUACAGCCUCCACCCAUGGGUAAGUCAUUAAAUUUAACCUCUAAGUUGGCC